AAUUUGACAAGAAUACAGCUUCUUAUCUGUGAGAGUUUUCUUGCAGUUGAGAACUGGUUUUCUGACAUCUUUUAAUUUUUUGUUUUGGGUCUUCGUCCCCUGUUGUCACACAGACCUGCUCCUGGCUCUCAGCUUCAGAAGCAACUUGUAAGAUAAUUUGGGUUCCAUUUGGUUCUGGUUCAGUGUGGCAUUUUUUUCUAAUUAGCUGGAGUCAGUGUGAAGGUAUUGGUCUCCUGCUUCGGCACAAGCAUCUCUUCUUCCUGACCGAUGCAUAGUUCCUGCGCUUCAUGUUUUAUCUAUGUUCCGGUUCCGGGUCCUCCUGGACUGCACUACUGUUCCUCUCCUGAUCAUGGAAAUGUUGAUGUACCAGCUCCACCUGCUCCUCUUGUUCCUCUUGGUCCCGUUUCAUCAGAAGAGGUUCUGAUUCCUCC